UACGAAGGGGGCGAGCGUUGUUCGGAAUUACUGGGCGUAAAGGGCGCGCAGGCCGCUCUGAAAGUCAGAUGUGAAAGCCCCGGGCUUAACCUGGGAACUGCAUUUGAUACUCUAGAGCUUGAGUACGGGAGAGGAGAGUGGAAUUCCCAGUGUAGAGGUGAAAUUCGUAGAUAUUGGGAAGAACACCGGUGGCGAAGGCGGCUCUCUGGACCGUAACUGACGCUGAGGCGCGAAAGCGUGGGGAGCAAACAGG
rnacentral:rRNA from 1 species